rnacentral:rRNA from 1 species
AUUGAACGCUGGCGGCAUGCCUAACACAUGCAAGUCGAACGAGUGGCGGACGGGUGAGUAAUGUCUGGGAAACUGCCCGAUGGAGGGGGAUAACUACUGGAAACGGUAGCUAAUACCGCCUACCAUCGGAUGUGCCCAGAUAGGAUUAGCUAGUAGGUGGGGUAACGGCUCACCUAGUCGACGAUGCAUAGCUGGUCUGAGAGGAUGACCCGCCACACUGCAACGGAGACAAGGACCAGACGUCGACGGGAGGCAGCAGUGGAGAAUAUUGCACAAUGGGCGGUAGCGUGAUGUAGCCAUGCCGCGUGUAUGAAAAAGGCCUUCGGCGUGUAAAGUACUUCCAUCGUCGGGGCGGUACCCGCAGAAGAAGCACCGGCUAACUACGUGCCAGCAGCCGCGGUAAUUC